rnacentral:tRNA from 1 species
UGGCUGAGUGGUAAAGCGUUUGGCUUCCUAACCAAGGUCCCGGGUUCGAAUCCUGG